rnacentral:misc_RNA from 1 species
GUAGGUGAACCUGCGGAAGGAUCAUUAACACGUAUCCUUACGUUAACCACCCGUGCACCUUCAUUGGAGACUUGCAACCCCCCGCCGGGGCAAGUAUCCCAAACCGCGUUCACCUGUGGUGAAAUGACGACGAACGGUAAAACGUUGAAGAAUCGUCAGAAGCGGCAAGUCUAAAUAAGGAGAUUCGGAUUGCAGUGGAGUUGAACCCUUGGAAAUGGCCCUGGAAUCGCGAAUUGCCAGAUGCGCUUUUCGGGGGGUUGGCACCUUUCCUGCUUUCCUGGAGUUUUCUUACCUGACCGCUGGAAAAAUUGACAGCAUGACUAACCAACCACGCUCCUACCCAACGGGGUCCGGAGUAGGUAACCCCGAACAGCUGUUAACAAUGGGUAUCUUGGCUCUC